rnacentral:rRNA from 1 species
CUACGAGGACGACGCUGGCGGCGUGCCUAACACAUGCAAGUCGAACGGAGUUUUUANGGAAUGCGGCUUCGGCCAAAUGAAGUUUAAACUUAGUGGCGGACGGGUGAGUAACGCGUGAGCAACCUGCCUUUGUGAGCGGGAUAACAGGGGGAAACCGCUGCUAAUACCGCAUGAUAUGUAGAUGAGACAUCUCGACUACAUCAAAGAUUUAUCGCACAAAGAUGGGCUCGCGUCUGAUUAGCUAGUUGGUGAGGUAACGGCUCACCAAGGCGACGAUCAGUAGCCGGACUGAGAGGUUGAACGGCCACAUUGGAACUGAGAUACGGUCCAGACUCCUACGGGAGGCAGCAGUGGGGAAUAUUGGGCAAUGGGCGCAAGCCUGACCCAGCGACGCCGCGUGAGGGAAGAAGGUCUUCGGAUUGUAAACCUUUGUAGACAGGGACGAAGCAAUGACGGUACCUGUAAAGUAAGCCACGGCUAACUACGUG